rnacentral:rRNA from 1 species
AUUCCUACGGGAGGCAGCAGUGAGGAAUAUUGCUCAAUGGGCGAAAGCCUGAAGCAGCGACGCCGCGUGGACGAUGAAGGUCUUCGGAUCGUAAAGUCCUUUUCUGUGUGACGAGGAAGGACGGUAGCACAGGAAUAAGUGUCGGCUAACUACGUGCCAGCAGCCGCGGUAACACGUAGGACGCAAGCGUUAUCCGGAAUUACUGGGCGUAAAGAGCGUGUAGGCGGUGCUGUAAGUCAACCGUGAAAGCUCCCGGCUAAACUGGGAGAGGUCGGAUGAGACUGCAGCGCUAGUGGGUCGUAGAGGAGUGUGGAAUUCCGGGUGUAGUGGUGAAAUGCGUAGAGAUCCGGAGGAACACCAGAGGCGAAGGCGGCACUCUGGACGACAUCAGACGCUGAGACGCGACAGCACGGGGAGCGAACGGGAUUAGAAACCCCGGUAGUCCGUGCCGUAAACGAUGUGUACUAGAUGUUUCGGUUGACUACGGUUGAUUGAGCGUCGAAGCAAACGCGAUAAGUACACCGCUGGGGAGUACGUCGCA